UACGUAGGGUGCGAGCGUUAAUCGGAAUUACUGGGCGUAAAGCGUGCGCAGGCGGUUCGUUGUGUCGGUGGUGAAAGCCCCGGGCUUAACCUGGGAAUGGCAUUUGGGACUGCAAGGCUGGAGUGCGGCAGAGGAGACUGGAAUUCCUGGUGUAGCAGUGAAAUGCGUAGAUAUCAGGAGGAAUACCGAUGGCGAAGGCAGGUCUCUGGGCUGACACUGACGCUCAUGCACGAAAGCGUGGGGAGCAAACAGG
rnacentral:rRNA from 1 species